rnacentral:snoRNA from 1 species
GCAGAUUCACUCUGCACCUGGCUGCAGCUCCAGUCUGGUGCUUUUGCCAUCUGCCAAAGAAAUAUUCCAGGGUGCUGUGACUGCCUCUGCCUAUCAGAGGCAAUACAACUGCCUGGGGACACAGCC